UGUGACGACAAAAUGUGACGCUAAGAGAAACGUUUACGACAUCUGUUGAUAGAGUAGAUAACUAAAUCCUGCCAUCUAUGAAAAAUUUUGGAACUUACGAUUAGUUACACCUCAUAUCACCACCUUUUCUGGUUAUGGCACCGUCACUAAUAGUCUAGUGGGUGAGCCCCAGUGAUGCAGAGGAAAACAGUACCUCCAUCACAGGGAAGAGAACUCCUACCCUGAAGAUGCUAUCAGUUUGAUCCUCCAAAAUUCUGGUACCCACCUACCAUAUAAAACGGAGACAUAUGCAAGAAUACAAAUGUCUGAAUCUUAGAUGCUGUAAAUAUUUCAAAUCUGAUACUUGCAAAACACAAUCACAACAUUAGAACAUUGUAAUUACCAUCAAACUGUGGUUAAUAUAGAAAAACAUAUUUUGAGAAGUCAUGCAUACAGCAAUA